rnacentral:lncRNA from 1 species
CUCAGGUUAUAUUUGUCAGAUAUUAAAGGUUGUUUGAUAAUCUGUUUGAUAAAAAUGUAUGACAAAAAUGCAAAAACAAAAGAAAUCUGAGGGUGGCCAUCGUGACCCGGUAGUGCAGUAGCACAGCGAGACACAGACACAGGGAGUAAACUCAAAUGGCACCUUUAUUAGGAAAAAUGCCCUCCUUCAACACUUAAAAAUAACUUAAAGAAACAUAGUAACGGGCCAGCGCGGCUCUAGUCGCUUAACUUUAGUGUCUCUUAGGUUUGUGUUGCCUCGGUAAGGUUCUUUAUGUUGGUCCAACGCGGGCCAGCUGGGACAGACCGGGGCUACAAAUCAUGGUGAGUGUAUAUACAUAUAUACCUUGAUUCAAGCUGGGAACUUUUUGGGUUCCAAAAUUAGGUGCGUAAAUGUUUAUCGCAAUAAUUUCUGGAACAACAUAUCAUUCACAAAAAAACAUUUUAUCCUGACAGGCCUAUGUAAGGGGGCAAACACUUUUUUUUACACCACUGUGUAUGGCUUUACAGGUAUAGUAGAAGCACACUGAUACUAUUUGUUAUAAUAUUUUGUCUUCCUAUCCUCGUGCCACUUAGCAUUACCACUAAAGUACCAACUUAAAAGAAAGAAAUCUUAAGGACUGCUGCUUUAAUUACACUAAAACUACAACAAGCUGCACAUUACACUGUUGUAAAAUGGGUGAAAGGGGUGCAGGGUCAACAAAAACAACCACAAUUCUAUUGUUUCCAACCUAUGAAUCCAAUUCACUCAAAACAAAGCUGAGCUCACUAAAGCAAUUAGCCUAGCAUGAGGUCCCAGAAUGCCUUUUUCCAUUUAAAUGCACUUUUGUGUGCCGCAAAACAGAAGCGCAACUGUAAUGCUAUUGUGAUGUAUGACGCCGCAAAGUCAAAGACACAAAGAAGGCUAUUUCCACCACUCUCAAUAAGCCAGACCCGCGCUAUAGGGCCUCCGCCGGUGUUUGGUUUACUUAAACACAGGCUUUAUGCAGCUGGCACACUCGCGCCUUUGUGUCCAGCUGGAAGAACAGGAAUGCUAACUGGAAUGCUGGAAGUGUGUAAACCUUAGCCAGCGGCUUCACGUGUAGGUACGGAAUCUGAUACCUGCCUCUUUGUGUUGGGAUGAGGAUAGAAACAGGCUGAAAACACUGAAACAUGAUGUUUCGACUGUUUCUGAGGCCUAGAAUUGGCUGUGCAACACAGGUAGCAAUUCGCUAACAGGUCAAUAUCAAUAUAACUUGGGUAAUGGAUUUACUCUGAAUGAACAC